CAAACUUGUAACUGACUAUUAACAUACAUAAAAAAGGUAUGGCUUAUAGACUACACAUGCAACUGCAAUUUUCUACCACAAAUCCCCCCUAAAAUAUUUUGCAAUGACACUCCAAUGAUAGAAUUUUCUGGUGUCCUUCAGUUUAUACUAUUUGUUUCAAUGCUCUACCAUGGUUAGAAAAAGGGGGGGGAGAAUUUGGUUUAAGAAUCAAAGAACCUCUGUGUUCAAGUUUCAUAUCUGGCUUAUACUCUCUGUAUGACCUUAGACAAAUCAUAAUAAACAGGUUCUUAGUUUCCACAUCUGCAAUAUGGGGGUGGGGAACAUCAAGUAUGUUGGAGAGAUGUCCUAGGUAUCUUCUAUCUCCAAAUCUGAUUCAAUGAAAAGUUAUCUGUACGUAUGCCUUCACAGUCAGGGCAUGUUCACACUUUGUUUACAAAUUGUGUUCUUCACAACAUCCCUCUAAGUAGUUCAAUUAUUAGUUCCUAUUUUACAAGUGAAAAACUAAAGUUGCCCAAAGUUCAGAGGUAUGAUAAUAGCUGGGACUGAAACCAAUGUCUUCUGAUCCUCUGUUUAGUGCUCUUUCUAUUACUUUCCCAGAAUUAUUUUUUCUCCUGAAGUUGUCAUGUAGCAGCAAAUAAAAGUAAAGCUCAGUGUAACAGUAAAAGGAACUCAUGUUCAAACAGGGCCUUAUUUGCUCUGUAUUUGGAGCAGCAUACAACACUUCCACGCAUCAAAAACAAUGAGAAAGGGAAAAUGUGAAAACACCAAAGAUAUAAAUCACAGAACUUAUAUGGAGGAUUGAGAAGUUCUAUCUCUAAAGAUGUGCUUGUUUGAGUGGUCAAAGCCUAUAUAUGUAUCAGGAAAGUAUAAACUCUGAUUCAACUAAGGCAAAUUCUAAGCUAGAAAGACUUCAAAUAUGUUACCCAUACAAAGUAGUAUUUUUGCCUACUGUCCCAAGACCAGCCUAGUUAGGCAUAAAGCUAACUCACUGAUAGGAUGUUUGUCACUUUGUGAAGAAAUAUCUUGCCAUGGGAAUCCAUGAAAGAAAGAAAAAUACAAAAUUAUUCUGUCUUGUACAAAUUUCUAGUUCUUCAGUGAGGGUGGCAGAGCAAUGGAAAAAAGGCCAAGGGGUGCGAAAACUCACAAUUUUCAGACUCUGAAUUGAACUACUGGUAAUGUAAAUAUAAGAUCCUUGUUCAUCAACCUAGUUGUAAUACUGAACCCCAUAAAUAAAAUUCAUAGACUACAUAAAGCUGAGGAGAGAUAUGAAUGAGACAGAAACUAAAAAAGGUCUUCAUGGGCCAGCACACUGGCCUGAAAUGAAUACGCUCAAAUAUAAAAGGGUUAAAUGUAACGUUUUACAUGGAUUCCAAAACACAAGAUAGCAGUGACAGGACUUUAUAGAAGUCUGUUUAAAAAAGAUCUGGUCAUUUUUAGCAGGGUGUAAGCUCAAUAUAUGAAAUGAUGCUAUGAUAUGGCAGUCAAAGUUAAUGUAAUUUUAGGCUACACUAAAAAAGACACUGCUUAGCACUAGGCAAGUGGUAGGCUCACUUUCUCACAUUCAUUAUUUGCUUUUCCAGGGAAAAUCCCCAUUUAGCAGCAACUUCAUUUCUUUCUGCUUCAUUAAGAACUCAUACAAAACAAGAUUUCAGCAAUUAUGCCUUCUCUCCAUUGACUUUUGGCAGUUUGAAAAAAAGCUGCACAAAAAGACCCUAUGUUCCUCAAACUUCAAUCUCAUGGGCCAAAUAAUUCUUAAGAAUUUCACAGAUUCUCAAGAUCACAGAAACCCUAGAACUCCUGUGAAGAAAUUCAAGGAUACUGCUGAAACUUUGCAGUAAAGGGACAAGAGAACACAAGAACUUAAAAGAACACUGGAGGAAUCUUCUGGCUAACCAGGAAGGAAAGGUAGGAAAGCAAACUAAAAUUAUCCUACUUCUAACAAACUGUCUAAAGCAGGGGUGGGGUACCUGUGACCUUGAGGCUCCAUGUGUCCUUCUCGGUCCUUGGGUGCGGCCUUUUAACUGAGUCCAAGUUUUACAGAACAAAUCCUUUUAGUAAGGGGAUAUGUUCUGUGAACUCUGGAUUCAAUCAAAAGGCAGCAACUGAGGACCUAAGGGUCACAGGUUCUUCUCCAGAGCACAGGUUUCAAACAUGCAGCCCAAACCAGAUUAAAAUGUAAGUGGAAAAUAUUUAAAACGAAUAAAAAUACAGCAGAUAAUAUAUUCUGAAACUAAGUUACUACACUGCCCCCACAGGGAUCCUGAUUCAGAGAUCCCCAUUUCUAUUUUAGUUUGACACCACUUGUCUAAGGGUAUGAAAGAUUCUUACUGCAGUGAAAUGCUCACAUGAGAGAUGCAUGAGUGAACUAAGACUGAGAGAAAAGAAGAUUCUUGGCUCCCAUCUAACAUUCAUUCCGGGACAUUCAGUCAUUUGAAUGUUUUCCCCCUUUGGUAACCCCCUUUUAUAGCUCAAGCAUACAUGCAUGUGUAUGUAAUCCACUAUUAUUUUUACAUUGCUCAAAAUCAUCACAUCACUCUCAAUUUUAACAACCAAAUUAAACUAUAAAGUAUUGAACUUUUGGAGGAAAAGAGCUGUGUGAGUUCAUUAAAA